AAUCAACGCUGGCGGCGUGCCUAACACAUGCAAGUCGCACGAGAAAGGGGAGCAAUCCCUGAGUAAAGUGGCGCACGGGUGAGUAACACGUGAAUUAUCUACCUCCGAGUGGGGAAUAACUGAGAGAAAUCUUAGCUAAUACCGCAUAACACUUACGAGUCAAAGCAGCAAUGCGCUUGGAGAGGAGUUCGCGGCCGAUUAGUUAGUUGGCGGGGUAAUGGCCCACCAAGACGAUGAUCGGUAUCCGGCCUGAGAGGGCGCACGGACACACUGGAACUGAAACACGGUCCAGACUCCUACGGGAGGCAGCAGU
rnacentral:rRNA from 1 species